UGGAAUGGAUGCCUUAUUAGCAUGCUUGGCUCACUUAAUCACCAAUAUUCUUAACUGAGAAGUGAGCCAAGCAUGUUGAUCUGACAUCUGUUCUUCCAAACCAAGGUUAUAGGUUGGGAGCAUUGUGAUUGAUUUGAAACAUUUUGGUUGGGAGCUGAAAGAGACUGGUUCAUUAGGGAAAGGUGGUACGUCAAGUUUUUAAGGCUGCCAAAUCUAUCAAUGUGUUGCUUGAAAUGCAUGUGCCAGCAGGUAUUAAUGAUGCACUUGCAAAGGUAAUAAUAGUCUUAUAAUGUUGAACAACUUUAAGUAAAUUAUAUUCUAGUGCAUCGAAGGCAUUUAACUGUAGGGUUUGGUUCUUGAUUAAAAAACAAUUAACUUAAAUAGUAAUAAUAGUAAAUAUUAAGUAAAAGUAUAUGCUCAAUGUGGUAAGAUACAUUACUUGCGGGCUUUAGUUAUAACUGUUGUGUGAUCCAUAAAAACAGACCCUAUAAUUGUUUCCCCAAAACCUGGGUGCUUUGAUUCCAUAGUACAUUGGUUUUCUUGAAUUGAUAAAUUGGGUUGGUUUGAUUGGAAAGUUAAGACUGAAAUAGAAUCAAGGUGCAUUGUUUGGGAGCAUUGGGAAUGAUUUGAAACAUUGUGGUUUUGAUGGUACUGGGUUUGAGAAUAAGAAGGAAUGCUGCAUAUGUUCAAGUAUUUUCCAAGAUAAUGAAAAGGUGAAGGUGUUAACAGAAUGUGAACAUGUUAUCUUUCUGAGUGUGUGGAUAUGUUGGCUUCUCACCCUAGAUUCCUAGUUGCCCUUUCUGUAGAGCAUAACAUGCUAUGUUCUCGGCUGUCCCUGUGAGCUUAGCUCAGUUGAUAGGGACAUCGCACUAUAUGUGCAGGAGCCCGGGUUCGAACUCGGGACACUCCACUUAUUCACCUUUAAGGUGGAUUUUCUAGCCACUAGGCUACUUGACAAAAAAAAAUGCUAUGUNNNNNNNNNNNNNNNNNNNCAUAAAUUGUGACAGUUUAAACGGAUACUCAAAGUUAUCUUAGGAGGGUAAGUGCUGGAUGCUAUAGGGUCGCAUCCUUGUACAUUGGUUGGGGAUUUGAUAGUAUUUUUUUAUAGCGUAUAGUUAUAUCAUAUUAGCAUACUUUGGAAUUGAGUCUAUUUCAUAACUAUAGAUUAACAAAUUUGGGUGAAUUGUAUAAGUUGAGACAAGUUUGGUACAUCUUUGUUAUUGUUGGCUCUGUUUGGGUUGCAUCAGAAUUGAAAUGGCUAAAUGAUGAUUGUGAGCAUUGAGGUUUAUCUACCAGGCCACAGCCACUUGGACUUAUCACUCAGGCAUAGAAGAGUUCCACCAAGAAACAUGCCUUCUAUAACUCAGUGGGGCAUUCUAUCUAUGUGGGAAGCAAACUAUGAAGCAAAUGAGAUGGCAAAGAAAGGAUCAUUAAUAGAAGAUAGGAUCGUUGAAUGGUGUAAUUCCUG
rnacentral:lncRNA from 1 species